AAGGGAGUGACAGAUAGCAUGUGGUUGACUUGAAAUCAGAAUAUGGGGGUUCGACUCCCUCCUU
rnacentral:tRNA from 1 species